UUUGCCCACCGUAGAGCCGGCUGGGCCCCGGGGAGCUGGUCUUUCGCUGCAGACUGCAGGGCGGCAUGUAGGCCCUCUCUGCUGGCUGCGCUGGCGGCCCAGCCCCAAAUUAGCAAGUGCCAAGCUUAGAGCGAGUCGGAGUAAGAAGUUCGGCCGAAGUUCUCAGGGUUGGUGCUCUCCUGACGGACGCUGCCGGUGUCGCGAACCCGUAGGAGGGCCCGGGCUGAGCCGAGGACGCCUAACCUUUUCCUCUGGCUUUUUGCCACUGCCCCUCAUCUGUGUCCUAGCUGGGACACGUCAGGUUCAGGAAAUAACACGCGAAAUCAGCACACUGGAGAGCAGGCCUCCCGACCCUCUUGCUACGUUCAGGACAACUGGAAGCUGCUAGUCUACAUUCGUUCGAGUCUGCAAUUCAAGACACAAAACAAUCGGUGAAUGUCUUGACGACCAAGAUUUCCUCUUCUGAUUUGUGAGCCCACUCAGUGUAGGGAUCCUGAAGGGAUCAGGACAAUUUCAGAGCUGAUUCUCUACUACCAUGUGAAUCCCAGGAAUCAAAGGUUGGCAGGCUUGGUGGCAAGCCAUCUUACUGCCCCAAAUCCAGGGUCUUGAGCGUCUGAACACGCCUUCUGUCAUUAAUCUGCACCCACCUUCUGUUGUGUUUUAUGUGUUCGGUGGCCAUAUAAUCACUUUCCUUUUCCUCCCUCCCGACAACUCGGCCUUUCCCAUUCGGGAUCAUUUGCUUUCGUUCGAAGAUUUCUUUAGGUUCUGCAAACCUCUGCCCAGAAACUGAAUACACACCACUGGCUUGUUUGGUUUGGGGUUGGGAGAGUCGCUCUUUUGGUUUUGUUGGUUGACUGGUUAGUUUAAAGUAGGGUCUCACUUUGUAGCCCUGGUUGGCCUGGCACCCACUAGACCAGGCUUCCCUCAAACUCAUAGAGAUGCACCUGCCUUUGCGUCCCAGGUCUUGGGAUUAGAGCUGUUCAAUACUAUGCCUAACUGCUUUUGAAUUUUGUAAGACAGGGUCCAGGCUGAGAAACCUGCUGUGUACUGGAGGAUAGCCUUGAAAUGGUCAUGUUGCCUCCAUCUGUCAAGUGCUGAGAUUCCAGCUCAGCGGUACCGUGUUUCUAAUCAACUUCCAGGCUCACUCUGCUAUCUACACUAGCUUUCGCCCUGUAACCAAGAGUUGUAAGGGUAUAAGACACUAUACUCUGUGACCUGCAAGACUUAUUCUUUGCAGACAUUUACCUCCCCUGCUUCAAAGUUUGCUUUUGUUUUGGACUGCUAGUAAAUUUCAUUUUUGUUCAUCUGGAAAGAUGUUUAUUCUGUUGCAGUAUUAGAUAAUUUUUUUUUAUUCUGCUACUCCCAAGAAGUCAGGUUUCAGGUUAUCCUCAUUCCUUAAUGUUAGCUACUUAAAUUUUGGGGGUUUUGAAGUAUACAUGUUUCUUCAUUCUUCUAGGAGUUCAAUGACAAUUGUUAUUGAGAAUCCACAAACCCCUUUUUCCCCCUGUCCCGCAAAAAAAAAAAAAAAAAAAAAAAAAAAAAAAAAAAAAGCCAAUCCUGUGACAAAUGUCUGUAGCACUUGAAAAAAGGAAGAAUGAAGAUCAGAAAUCCAAAGCCAGCCUUGGCCUCAUAGUGAGUCCACCAAUCCAGGUUACAGUGAACUUGCCUUAAAAAGAAAGAAAAGGAAAAGAAAUUACCAUCUGUGUGAUGGUAUCCUCCUCUAAUCCUAGCCCAUUUGGGAGACUGAGGCAAGAUGAACAAGAAAAUAAAAAAUCCAAAGUGCUCUGGCAUUGCCCACCUGAACUGAUAGGAACAUGUGUUGAAGGUGGUAAAAGUGCUUGUUGUGCAAGGCUAACAGCCUGAGUUCAACACCCAGACCCAACGGGAAGGAGCGAACCAACUCAGGAAAGUUAGCAUUGACUCCAGGUGCCCACAUUCACACACACAAACAUAAAUACAAUUAAAACCAGGUGCUGGUGGUGCAUGCCUUUAAUCCCAGCACUCAGGAGGCAGAGGCAGGCAGAUUUCUGUGAGUUUGAGACCAGCCUGGUCUACAAGAGCUGGUGUCAGGACAGGCUCCAAAGCUACAGAGAAACCCUGUCUCGAAAAACCAAACAAAAGAAAAAGAAAAGAAAAUGUCCUGUAUACAACAAGAAUUAUGCUGUCUACAAUAUUUAUUAUGUCCCGAUGGGAUCCUAUUUUUGUGAGUCAUAUUAGAGGUCAUACUCAACUACCUGGACCCCUGGCCAAGGGUAAUCAACUCACAGAUGCAUAUACCUGAAUAUUAUUUGCCAGCCCCGAAGAAAAAGCUUCUAAACUCCAUACAAAAUAUCACUUAAAUGCUCGUUCUUUGCAGCACCAUACUGGUUGCUUCAGAGCCACUGCCUUACAAAUUACUACCCAAUGUUCUGCCUGUGCUCCUUUUCAUAAUACACCCAUUGCUGGAGUUAAUCCUUGUGGACUUAAACCGAAUGGCAUUUGGCAGAUGGAUGUUACCCACCUACCCUCAGCUGGAAAGCUGAAAUAUAUGCAUGUUUCAGUAGCUACUUACUCUAAAGUAGUUUUUGCUUCGUUGCAUAGUGGAGAGAAAAUUAAGGAUGUGAUAGCUCAUUGCCUGCUGGGUUUUGCUUAUAUGGGCUUACCUAAAAUUAAAGACAGGUAAUGGUCCUGCAUAUACUAGUGGAAAAUUUCAAACGUUUUGUGUAAAUAAUGAUAUUAAACAUAUUACAGGUAUUCCAUAUAACCCUACUGGACAAGCAAUAGUAGAAAUAAUGCAUAUGGUUAUAAAACAGUAUUUCACAAAAAUAAAUAGGGGGGAGUAUAUUCUCUCUCCCAAUAGACAAUUGGCUUCUGUUUUAUUUAUUCUAAAUUUUUUAACUGUGGGUUGUGAGGGUCACUCGGCCAUGGAAAGACAUUGGAAUAAAAGUUCUCAGUCCUUAGGACGGGUAGGAUGGAAAGACCUUCUUACAGGACGGUGGAAGGAGCCCACACCCCUGUUGGGGUGAGAGGAGCUGUUUGUGUUUUUCCUCCAGGAACAGACAAGCCCAUUUGGGUACCAGAGCGAUAUGUUCGGGCUGUGGAAAAUGAUAAGGAUCCUGUGAUGAGCCUGAGAAUGACACCUGUCAUUCUCUUGAUGAGCCUCCUGGUGAGUCCCAAUCAAGUGGAAAGCACUGUGUGAAGCUUGGUAAGAAUCCCUUGUAUUUACCAGUGAGCCAAGCUAGUUCUUUGUAUUCAUCUUUCUAUUCCUCAAACUAUACAGCUGGAACUGCUUUAAGCAAUAUGGUGAUAGAACAGGCUUCUAUUAAUCAAACCUUUUCCUUUGUGAAUGCUUUACGCUUUGUUAAAUUUUUUGGGCUAUGAAUAUUACUUUAAAGGAAUCCUAUGCAAGUGAGUGUAGUUCCUAUCUUUCUUUUAUGGAGUAUUUCUCUGAGAGUCCAGGCACUAUUAAAUCCUGUGUUUGUUUUAGUUUUCUUUCUCUUUUCUUUUCCUUUUUGUAGUAUGGAAUGGCACCAUAGAGGCUUUACUACACAGCCGUCGAUGGCCCACAGGUGAAAAUCCCAUCCUCUGCUCCUCUAGGCAAGGCACAGCUUCUAGUAACUUCAAUUAGAAGGCUCUAGACAGGGAAGAGCAGCU